rnacentral:rRNA from 1 species
UACGUAGGUGACAAGCGUUGUCCGGAUUUACUGGGCGUAAAGAGCGCGCAGGCGGUCGAUCAAGUCGAGUGUGAAAGCCCCCGGCUCAACUGGGGAGGGUCAUUCGAUACUGAUCGACUCGAAGGCAGGAGAGGGUAGUGGAAUUCCCGGUGUAGUGGUGAAAUGCGUAGAUAUCAGGAGGAACACCCGUGGCGAAAGCGGCUCUCUGGAACGGUACUGACGCUGAGACGCGAAAGCGUGGGGAGCGAACAGG